rnacentral:misc_RNA from 1 species
AAGUCGUAACAAGGUAACCGUAGGUGAACCUGCGGUUGGAUCAUUAAAAAAAAUUCAACAAAAAGAUAAAUGUUCAAAUGAUAAGUUUGUUCAUUUUUUCUUUACACACCCUUGUGAACUUUGUUUAUUGUCCCUUGGUGAGAGAGAGAAGCUUUUUUUUUAAAUUAAAAAAAAAAAUCUUUCUCACCACAUUUUAUACUUAAACUUUUUAUUAUUUUUAUUGCCUUAAACUUAUUUCUAAAAAAAAUAAAAACAACUUUUGACAACGGAUCUCUAGGCUCUC